rnacentral:lncRNA from 1 species
GAAAGAUCUCACCAGAAACCAACUGUGCUGGCACUUUAAUCGUGGACUUUGAGCCUCCAGAACUGUGAGAAAAUAAAUUUCUGUUGUUUAAGCCACCCAGACUGAAGCAUUCAGCUAUGGCAGCCCAAGCAGAUUGACACACAUGGGCGGUUUCUGCUGGUCUAGACAUCUGGGUUCCAAAAGAAGAAUGCAUCUCCCAGGAGACAUGACAAUGAUUCCAUUCAACAGGAAGUUGAGACUGCCACCUGAACACUUUGGGCUCCUCAUGCCUCUGAAUCAACGGGCAAAGAAGAGAGUUAUAGAUCCUAACCACCCAGGAGAAAUUCGGUGGCCACUACACAAACAGACUUUUCUGACUCUGCGGCCAGGUGUUUGUAUUUAACUCCACGGUGAGGAGACUCAUCUUCUGACGGACCUAACCUAUACCAUCAAGCUCCAGCACCACAAGCAAAGACAAAAACCUUGCGGAAACUAUUUAACUAACUCCCACAAUUGCAUAAGGAUCUAAAUGAAAAUAUUUCUGCAGUGAACCAGUUCUAUUGUUU